CAAUAUGGCUGGCGUUGAUGCAAUUAAUUCUUGUGGAGUCUGAGAGUACACAGCUCCGCCUGUGUAGGAUAUCUGAGCAGAAACGAUUACAGACUAGGAGGAUCCGUCCAAAGGUUUCGAGACUCGCAGCGAUUGAGAAGAUAGGGAGGACCUGAGCGAAAUCAAACCCAGAGGGCCUCGAUAAAUUGACGUCGUCUCGCGAUCUGAGAUCUCCGCCACACAUAUCCUCGAUCCCUCCGCCGUCACUCCUUUCGCGUCCUCUUCCUUACACCCAUCCAUAUCAAGAACCCCUCCGAGCCCUAAUCCCCCUACUGAUCUGAUAUUGGGCUUUUCUUCUCCGCUUUUUGCUGCUGCUGCCUACGAGAAUACAAUCCUUAUAAAGGAGCUCGGAGCUGGUCAUUGGGACCUCGAAUAGGAGUGAGGAAGGGGAGGAAGAAGAGCCGGUGAGCGCGAUGGAUGAAGAAUUACGGACUCCGGCUUCGAUUUUCGCUGGUGCAGAAGACCUCGAAGCCAGCUCCUCCUCGCCCUUCCCUUCCUGCCUUCGCUUUCGGCGGCGGCGACGACGAGGAUGACAUCGAGAGGGAAAUCUCACGACAGGCGUCCAAGAACAAGUCUCUCCGGAAGGUUUUUUAAAAUGGUUUCCUUAUUCCUGGUAUUGAUGAGUAAAUUAACUUACGGGUUGAUUGAUUGAUGGUGGAAUUUGGUCGAUCGAGGAGCAACACAAAAAGGCAAUGGAAGAGGAUCCCUCGGUCUUCGACUACGACGGGGUUUACGACGAGAUGAAAGGGAAGAUUGCGCGCCCCAAGGUUCAGAAUCGAACGGAGAGAAAGGGACAAUGGGAGGCUUCGGGGAGGCUGACCUUUGCGGACGGACGCGCGAGGGUGCCGCACGCCUUAGGCAAAACCAGCUAAGGUCGUGACAUUAUGGUAUCAGAGCGGGACAAGCACUCAUAGAAACACUUGACAUGCAAACGUGGGGGACCUAGCGGGGCUGCGUUGAGGGCAGUCAGCACACGCGCGACCGUUUGAGGGAAAACGGGCAUGGAGAUGUAGGGAAAAGAGUCGCUCAGAGGAGCGGGCAUCUAACAUUGGCAUUUUGAGGAAUGGCCAACCCUUCGCGCAAGAGGCACCACGAGAACAGGCAAGCUUGGAAGAAUGCGGAGCGCACAAAGGUUGGGAUGGCUGAGUUUGAGCUACGGCUCAACGUUGACAACUAUACUUGAUGGUGCUCUAGGCAAGCGAGGCGCUUGGCAAGAAUGAGACCAUCCAAGGUGGAAUGAGUUGUUCAACGACCAAAAGAGUUAUGCAAAGCUCACAGAGGUGAGGGGAAUUGCUAACUCGAAGAAUUUGGUACUCAUGCAUGGGCUUGUAUGCGGACGAUGGAAUGUUCGUGGCCAUCCCAAGGCGACCCAGACUCGGCGCCAUGGAGCAUUGAAACUUUCUCUUCGGCAUGCAAAGGAUACGUCCGGAGGAGGCUGAAGUGUGCAACGAGUUUAGCAUGUUGCUAGGCCUUGAGGGGUGCGGCGGUGGCUGUAUUGACGUGGAGGCGCAAUCUAGCAAGUGCGUUUGCAGGAGGCAAGACAUUGCACAGUUUGUUCAGCAGAUCGGAGUAGUCCAAGGGGAUGGUGGUCUCCGAAACGAAGAGAGAUGUUGCUCCAACGGGACAGUUAUCUAGGAGGGAUAAGUCUCGGCACUCCAGAGGGAGAAUCAUGUGAGACGGACUUCACAUGUUGAGGAGGAGUACCUCACAAACAACAACUUCACGAAGCUCGAUGGACUGAGCAAGCGGCGAGGAGUUGUCGCAUGAUCUCGCUCGAGAGAAUGCAUUGGUGGAUGCAUUGCGAGAUCAAGUGGGGGAGCGACCUGAAGCAACUUAAAUGAAGGCACACUUAGAGUCGAUAUGGAGAUCGGACUCAAGGGAGGGCUGACCCGUGGAAUGGAGGGCGCGAGGGCCACCAUCGACUCAAUGCAAAAACGAGGAGCGGAGCAACUUGGGUGUAACUUGGCGAAGUACCCAAGCCGCAUGAAGGGAGCCAGCAGAGAAGUUGGAACAUGGAGCAGAAGCACAGUGCUUUCCUUAGACAGAGGUCAAAGACAUGAACUCUUGCAGAGGCAAGGGUAGGAUCAUGUUGUUCCAUGGGUCCUUCAUUCUGACGGAGCGGACUCAUCUUGCAUGGUGCCAAAGAUGAAGGGAGCUUCUGGGCACAUGCACCUUAUCUCGGAGGAGCAUUUGAUGGAGGAACUAAGGCGACUCAAUUUGCGGAGGCGAAGUUGGGUUCAGAAGGUCUUAGCACGGGGCAAGAGGACGCAGAGGCGGGUACUCUUGAAGAAUAUGCCACAGUGUUGCCAUUCAAGUUGCCAUGAAGGAAGCAGUGCGCAGCGGAGAUUGUGCUGGUAGGGGCAGAGGCCCAGGAUCCAGACAAUGGUGCAUAAACUACAGUGAAGUCGGUGGACUUCGGGAGCUACUAGGCGACGGACUGCUCUAGAGUGGUGCUUCAUCUAGGUGUGACCCAAGAGUGGGUGGAUGAAGGUCGAUUGCCAAAGGAGUGAACAAAAUCGAAGGUGGAGGAGACCCUGCGAUGUAUUGGCAGAGGCCACACAUGGAGGGUUCACAAUUCGAGUUUAGUCCACAAAGAUCAGAAUGCAAUGGAGAUGUCACCAGGAGGCGACAUGGUGCAGCGGAUCAUGGUGGAACAGUUCGUGGCAAUGCGACACACACGACAGCGUCCCGUGAGGGAUGAGAUCAUAUGGAGGUAUGAUCGGGAGUUACUGGAAGCUCCACUUCGAUGAACAACACGACGGCAAGAAGGGCUAUGGAUUCAAGGAGUGAAGGCCAUGGUACCGCAGAGGCGGGUCUUUCGGGCGUGCAUCGAAUUUUGCAUCGGAUGAAAGCCUUGGUCAUCAGCAUAUGGGGGCUGUGUUCCACCAAGGGAAAAGUUCGAAUGCAAGUACCAGUGAGUUCCAUGGGAGGGACUUGAUCAUACAGAGGUAUGAUCGAAGCAGCUGGAGAGUUGGAUUGCUUCAGAGCUCAUAUUCGCUUAAGGGAGCCCGACAAGUCAGAGGACAAGGUCGAGUAAGCGAACGUUGCUACCAAGGAAGCUAAGGAGAACAGAAUCGGUGCAAACUCUACAACGUGAUGGCAGAGGCCAUGCAUGGGAGUUGCAGUCUAUCUUUCCAUCGACCAAACGGACUACUUGGAGAACAUAGUGGUGUUGAAGCAGGGGGUCGAAAAGGGGCGAGGAAGCGACGACGAGUCCAGAGGGACUUAGCUACCCAAAAUCAAGCAUCAGUUAGAAUGGAGGUGGACUCAGAGGAGUGCCACGGAGACAUCUCUACUGAUUGUGAAGAAAAGGGAUACAGAGGCGAGGCGACGGAUAAUAGGGCCAUGGGCAUGGCAGCGCCAUAGUACCGCAGAGGCGGGACUUCCGUGCAAGUCAUUGAUCCCUUGCUCUCAUGGAGGGAGAGCGCUUGGUCGUGAAAGGGGCCGAGGAGGUGGAGCAUGCAGAGGCAAUCUCCAUACCGAGACAAGGCUGAAGGGCAGAGGCCAAGAAACUUCGUAAGACCGGUGUCAACAAGUUUCUCAUCAAGAUAGCCGUAAGUGAAGGACUUCGGGUCAUGCAAGAGUGCAUGACCAAGGAACGAAGCAGACAGUACGCGGUGCUGUACCUUUGCUACUCAGUGGAGUAGGCGGCAGGGUUGAUGGAGAAGACGGUACAAUCCCAGAGGCGACCUCAUCUAUCAGAGAAUUACUCCAAGUUGGGGUGAAAACUUCCCGCAUUCCAGAAGUUCGAUGGCAUUGAGAAGGUGAAUCACAGUAGCUAACUCAACGCAAGGAGUGCAAACACUUCAAGUGCUUCAGAAGUGUGAGCAAAGAGCAGGCG